rnacentral:rRNA from 1 species
CUACGGGUGGCAGCAGUAGGGAAUUUUCGGCAAUGGGGGAAACCCUGACCGAGCAACGCCGUGUGAAGGAAGAAGGAAUUCGUUUCGUAAACUUCUGUUAUAAAGGAAGAAAGAUGAUAUCAGGAAAUGGAUGUCAAGUGACGGUACUUUAUGAGAAAGCCACGGCUAACUACGUGCCAGCAGCCGCGGUAAUACGUAGGUGGCAAGCGUUAUCCGGAAUUAUUGGGCGUAAAGAGGGAGCAGGCGGUAACAAAGGUCUGUGGUGAAAGCCUGAAGCUUAACUUCAGUAAGCCAUAGAAACCAGGUAACUAGAGUGCAAGAGAGGAUCGUGGAAUUCCAUGUGUAGCGGUGAAAUGCGUAGAUAUAUGGAGGAACACCAGUGGCGAAGGCGACGAUCUGGCUUGUAACUGACGCUGAGUCCCGAAAGCGUGGGGAGCAAAUAGGAUUAGAUACCCCCGUAGUC